rnacentral:rRNA from 1 species
AGUAUGGGAGUGAGAAUGUUGGCAUGAGUAGCGAGAUGUGGGUGAGAAUCCCACAGGCCGUAAACCCAAGGUUUCCAGGGGAAGGUUCGUCCGCCCUGGGUUAGUCGGGACCUAAGCUGAGGCCGAAAGGCGUAGGUGAUGGACAACAGGUUGAUAUUCCUGUACUACCGAUAACCGUUUGAGAGAAGGGAUGACACAGUAGGAUAAGCUAAGCACACUGUUGGUUAUGUGUGCCCAAGCAUUGAGGCAGUCAAAG